GCAAAAGUUACGUUAUACUUUAACAAACCACCUCUUUUGUCAAAUUACAUUUUUUAAAUCGUGAACGUCAAUAACUAGCGGUCGAAUGUAUGAAGAUGACAGGUCGAAGUCACGUGACCCACCGAAAUGUCAUUUCCAUACAUUUGAGCGUUGUUUGUUGACGUUAACGAUUGUAGCAAUAUAACUUGGCUAGAGGGGCUGCACAUAAGAACGUACGUUAUUCCAGUGAUUGUUUGUAACGUAUCCUCAGACACGUCUCAAGACAACACGCUUCUUACAUAAAGGGAACAUUAAGAGAACGCCAAGACGAGUCGCAAUUUAAUCUCGUUUGUGGUCGGUUUGCAUUCGCUACUGUGACUGUUACGCUUCUGCUUUCCUGGUGUAUUUAAAUGAGAGCGGCGAUUCAUUAGACAAGGCUGGGGCGGCGAAGCAAACACGCCAGUGAGUGAGAGUGAGGGAAGCCUGACGUGAUAAAGCUUCGGGAGACUACGAUGCAUCUAUCUGUUCCCGUCUGAGUUCAAGAUUGAGCGGUCAACGAGAAAAAUGUUCGUGAUCGUUCGCUACUCGACCGUUUACUAAAUUUCUUCUGGAAAAGUAAAUAUUGUAUACGAGUUAUGGCGUUCCGUAUUUCGUUUGGUAUUCUAUUAAAUGGUUUGUAAUAAAUAAAAUAAUAUUUUCAACUUCAAACAAAAACUAUGGAGUCAAAAUUUAUUUUUUUAUAGGACCAAAUUAGAGUUUGACAUAGCUGCAUUGAAAGAAGUACCAUCAAAAUCGGUUCAUCCAGUCUGAA